GUCAGAUCUGAGGUGAAAAUUAAGAGGGGCACUUGGGGGCAUUCAUAUUGUGCCACUAAAGGUAAAUUCUUGGACUGGUGAAAGACAGACCAAAGGGAAAGCAUUUGCCAAUAAUGUUCUCUUUAAUCAAGAAAGAAAGUCAGAGGUUCGAAGAUGAUCAGAAAGCAUCUUAGUUCCGACCACAAACAAUGCCACCUGGAGAUGCAAUUGUGUUAUUCCCAUGACCCUCCCGGGCAGCUUCCUGAAAACCUAAGUGUUUGGC
rnacentral:ncRNA from 1 species